CAAAUCCUGUAAUCCUUGUGUAUGUGUGUAGUCUGAAGUGUCUCUUGGCUGUCAGGUUAACCUUGCUGAAAAAGAAAUCAAAGAAUAUGAAAUGAGGAAAGUUUAAAAGGUGCUAAACAAAAGAACAAAUUAAUGCAGUGUGUGUGUGUGUGUGUGUGUGUUGUAGGUGUUGCAGGCACUUGUAGGUAUCAACAUUCCCAUCCCAUCCCCGACGGCAAGUGUGUGUGCUGCACUCGGGCUGCAUGCUCAAGCGUCUCUCUCUGGCUGAGCGGGGCAGGCCUCAGGCUGCAAGGCAAACAACUGUUACCUACAAAUCAUCCGUCACUAUUGGAAACCGGUUUUUCACCCCCUCCUCCCUUUCUCCCUCCCUCCCUCCCUUGCUCCUUCUCUUCUCCCCCACACUACCAUCCAUCCUCACCCCUCUCCUGCUGCAGCGCCGACUUUAGAGCACGUGUCGGAGCUGCAGUUUUUUUUUGACAUGUUUCACGCUGCUGGGAAAGACAUAGUGCUGAAGUGAACGUGGAGAAGAGAAGAACACACACACAUGUGUUUUUGAAGCUGGUUGGGAAACAGCGAGACAGCAACAUGUGCUUGUCAUCCCCCCACACUGCCGACAGGUGUUGGCUUCAUGUGACUGCCUGCCUGCCUGUCCAGACAACGCUCCAAUGAAGGAGGAGGAGGAGGAGGAGGAGGAGGACGGCGAGGAAGAAGAGAAGGAGUGUGUAAAGUUUCAUCAACAACAACUGUGUCAACUCGUAGUUGCUCGGUGCUGGGAAAAUCUCCAGCUCAGAUCUCCUUUCUGAGGCUUGUGGAGGCUCUGGUCUGCAGAGUUUGGGGAUGCCUCUCCUCCUCCUCCUCCUCCUCCUCCUGCUCUCCACUGGAUGAAUGGAUGAAUCCACCCUUUUGUUGGCGACGGUUCGUUCCUCAGCAACAGCUCCAUGGUUACAGUCCAAUAAAUAACAUCACACUCUCUCUUCUGCGUCUCUGGUUCUUAGGCCAGGAUGCAAAAAGAGAAGUAAAGUUUUUUUUUUUUCCUGUAAUUUAUUUUCCCUUUGUGCAUCAGUUGAUUUAAAACUGAGUGAAAUAACAUAAGCUCCAUUCGUAACUCAUUUGUUUAAAGCUGAGGUGAUAUUUUAAAAUCUGCAAAGAUGAAAAUGAGCACAUGCC